GGAUAAGGAAGCGUCAGUACCUAGAGAAGCUGCCUACAAGAAGCAUCAAGGAGCAGUCCAGGGGGACAAGGGAAUGUGAACUGUGGCCAGCUCAUCACACGGUGUCCCUGCUGCUCCUUCUUGCUCUGGGAGAUGGAUGCUUCACCUUCUUUUCCUCCUCCAGAGGAAAAGAGGGAGACAGACUCCAUGAUCUUCUCCGGUGUGUCCUUCCACGGGCUGCUGUUCUUCCUGAACUGCUCCAGUGUGGAUCUUUUCCAGAAGAUUGAAAUUGCUGAGUAGUAAAUCAAAUGGUCUGAAAAUUACUGGGAGUUCAGUGCGUCCUCAACUAGACAUCACAGAAUUAGGCAGUUGAGAAAAUUGGUUUACUUUCAAGCAAACUUUUAACAAAAAACAAAAAAGGCAAAUGAAAAGAAGAUAGGUGGUUUUGAAAUUAAAGGAUUAAUGACAAGAGCAUUUGAAGGUGUGCCACAGAUGCUGAGGUACAGUGAAAUAUGCCUAAAUGUGACCCAUUGCUGUGAACCUGAUACCGUAUGUUUUCAGGACAAUGCUUGUUAUCUUCUUUGGGAAGCUUUUUCCAUGGUCCCGAAUGUACCUGUAAAGAAUUUUUCCAUUCUUCUUUUCUUUUGGAUGAUAAGGAUAUAUAAGGAUAUAAUGAUCUAUCUGUCUCUUCUGCCCACUCAGUCAAGUAUUGCCUGAUUAUAUGUGUAAAGUCUAAUCAUAAUUUUGUGCCUGCCUUAAGCACAAUCACAAAUAAAAUAGGCAGACAGGAAUAUAAUUUGAGCUCUGUGUGUCACUUAAGCAAAGAAGGACUGAUUAAGAAAAUGUAUCUGUUCAUCUGUUCUUUAUUACAAAGCCAGAAUGACCACAAAAAUCAUAAUGAUUUUAUAAAAGCUGUCAUUAUAUUUGACUGGGAAAACAAUGGGGAACUUGCCAGGUGAAAUCUUUUAAUAUUUUCAGUCCUAAAAUAUGGCUUUUCCUUGUAUACAAGCCUUUCCUUUAAUAUACCUAAGUUGUUUGGGUUUUGUUUUUUCCUGAAAGGGAUUAUCUGUUUAUGAAUACUGCUUCUUGAAGGGCAAAAAGCUUUAUCAAAUCACUAUACCAUAGAGAAUAUAGACCUUAUUCCCAUUUUAUAUCUGGAAAUCUCUGAAGAUCUUGAUUCAUAUCAAGAUCAGGUGAUACACCAUCAGCCAGGGCUUUGAGAAAUGAGAACUGUAAGCCUUUAUGCUCAUACACAUCUAUCAAUGAACAGCCAUUAUCAUGCUACACUGAAAGAGUCCUUGUGAACACAGGAUCAACCAUUUCAAUGGGCCUUUAUGAGCUGCAAGAUUCAAAUGAUAAGCAGUAAUUAACUAAGCCACCAUCUCAGCCAGCAGCCAGGCUGUCCUGAAGGUAGCACAAGGCAUAGCAAGCGGCUGAAAACUUCCUGAGAAUCAGGACAUGUUAAUCUCAAAAUCAUGGAGCAGUUUGGACAAUGGAAGCUAGAUAUUGUGGGGUUAAUCCUUAAUUCUUGAAGAAAGGGACAGAAAAUGACCAGAACACAGCGUUAUGUAAAAUGUGAGAAUAUGAAAAUAAGGGGGAAUGAAUGUUCAGUACUUAUCAACCAGUAUUCUCUCAUCAUAUUCCUGGAGUCCAGAGACUUAAAAAAAUAUCUUCAUAUUGAAAAAGAAAACAAAUAGUGUUUAAAUGUAUUUCCUGGGUUUGGGUGAAAAAAAACCUAUGGUAAAUAAUCAUCUUAAUGUCUAGUACCAGUUUCUGUUUGUUCAACAUGAUGUUUCGGUAGUGUUGAGCAAUCAUCAGAGAUGACUUGGUUACCUUCACUCACUGACAUUUUUGUAUAUGAAGUGCACAGUUGAUUUAAUUUGGCCAUAUUUGAAACCCCCAUUCAAGCAGGCAAGAUGAUGUGUUAAAGGAAGAAAGCAAAGGCCUGGUUGCUUGAGUGCAGAAAAAAUGUAGUUUUAAUACUUGUACUCAAGAUGGCAGCACGAAAACAUUAAAAAAUGCUUCAGUGGCAAUUUUCCAGAGAGCCUCUGGCUCUUCCCUGUUCAUUUUAUUGCAUUCUGUUCCAUAAGACUGAACAGUUUGAAACACAGAACGGUGGGCAAUGAAGAACACCCAGAGAGUAAAUAUUCAAGAAGGGGGAAAAACUCAUUAAAAUUUGUGUUAUUAAAAAUAAUGUAAUUGUGAAAUAAUGAACCUUCUGACAGGAGUUCAUUAACAGUUAAAAAUACCUCAGAAAAAUAUUAGCAUAAACUAGAUCCUGGUGAAUUCCUACCAAAUCUUUCAGGUGCAAUGAAUGUAAUUGUGAUGACUGGCUUCUCCCAUCAGAAUGACAAUUAUGAUAUCUUAAAAGAGCCUAUUUGUUCUUAUUCUGAGUGGUAAUAUUUUCCUGCAUUUAAAUGUAUUCCCCAUUACAGAUGUAUCCCCUCUAUUCCUGUGCUUCUCUGUCUCAUGAGUUAUGUAUGUACAUUUUCCUAUCAAUGCACAUGCAUUA